UACAGGGGGGGCAAGCGUUGUUCGGAAUUACUGGGCGUAAAGGGUCUGUAGGUGGCCAACUAAGUCAGACGUGAAAUCCCUCAGCUUAACUGGGGAACUGCGUCUGAUACUGGAUGGCUUGAGUGUGGGAGAGGAAUGCGGAAUUCCAGGUGUAGCGGUGAAAUGCGUAGAUAUCUGGAGGAACACCGGUGGCGAAGGCGGCAUCCUGGACCAACACUGACGCUGAUGAGCGAAAGCCAGGGGAGCAAACGGG
rnacentral:rRNA from 1 species